rnacentral:rRNA from 1 species
UACGUAGGGACCAAGCGUUGUUCGGAUUUACUGGGCGUAAAGGGCGCGUAGGCGGCGUGGUAAGUCACUUGUGAAAUCUCUGAGCUUAACUCAGAACGGCCAAGUGAUACUGCUGUGCUAGAGUGCAGAAGGGGCAAUCGGAAUUCUUGGUGUAGCGGUGAAAUGCGUAGAUAUCAAGAGGAACACCUGAGGUGAAGACGGGUUGCUGGGCUGACACUGACGCUGAUGCGACGAAGCCAGGGGGAGCAAACGGGG